rnacentral:rRNA from 1 species
GAUGAACGCUAGCUACAGGCUUAACACAUGCAAGUCGAGGGGUCUCAAGGGAGCUUGCUUCUGCGAGACGACCGGCGCACGGGUGAGUAACGCGUAUCCAACCUGCCCUUCAUAUUGGGAUAGCCUUCCGAAAGGGAGAUUAAUACCGAAUAACAUGAGAAGAUUGCAUGAACCUCUCAUGAAAGCUCCGGCGAUGAAGGAUGGGGAUGCGUUCCAUUAGGUAGUAGGCGGGGUAACGGCCCACCUAGCCGACGAUGGAUAGGGGUUCUGAGAGGAAGGUCCCCCACACUGGAACUGAGACACGGUCCAGACUCCUACGGGAGGCAGCAGUGAGGAAUAUUGGUCAAUGGGCGCAAGCCUGAACCAGCCAAGUAGCGUGAAGGAAGACUGCCCUAUGGGUUGUAAACUUCUUUUAUACGGGAACAAACCCCGGUACGUGUACCGGAUUGCGUGUACCGUAUGAAUAAGCAUCGGCUAACUCCGUGCCAGCAGCCGCCGUAAAAC